CAGGAGGGGGGAAUGCGGUCUAUGAUUUUGAGAUGCAAAUUUUAGGGGGCUAGGGGCUUAAACUAAACUGUGUUUGUGAUUGAGAAGGUGGAAGAGACCGGGUUUCUUCUCUUUCUUUCUUUCUUUUCUUUUUUUUUUUUUGAUGACAUGCAUGUGACAUGGCAUAUUUCAGACGCAUGAGAUCUAUUACAAGUGAGAGUGCCAGGAAGAAAUUUUGCUAAUGGGAAACAAAUGGGCCACACUUCUGAGCUCUUGUCACUUUCUAUUUGGGAUGCAGUUUGUUGCCAUCUUUUUUUUUUCUUUUUCUUUUUUUUUUAUAGACAUUCAUUUGCAAAGAUGCUUUGCAUACACCUUCUAAUAAUAUUCACCAAACCAUCGUGCAGUCUGCUUUUGCAUACGUGCUUGUGCACAGGUGAGAGUGUACAGUCAUAUCAUUUAUGUGGAUAUGAGGUUGUUGUUUUUUUAGUACUUGACCCUUCACUUAUAGAUAUAGGAUGAUGCCCCGGUGACACUGGUACACACCGAGCACAGCAGUUACUGCCUCUUCCCUCUUUCUGUCUCCACUGUCCAUCUUCCCUCCUCCUUCCUCUCGCCUCUCCUGGUUGCAGUUGUAUUUGUGCGCCUUGGGAAGAUUACAAAGAGGUGCUUUGUGAGGGGAUGCAGCUGCUGAAAUCCGACUAGAUCCAGCUGAAGAGAGAAGGGAGCAGCUCAAAAAGAGGCGGCAGGAGAUGGAGAGAGGAAAGGAAUGAAAGAGAGAAGAGGAAGUCAUGCAGGCGAGCGUUCUUGCUCCCGUUGAAGUGGAUCAGAUGUCUCACCGCCAACCUGACUGCAGGGGACACGAUGCUGGACCAAGUCUUUGGAGUCUGGAGACAGAGUGGGGGGACAGAUCCUGCUGCACAUCUGAAGUUUAUUUGGCCUCCCCCUAGGGAGCGCGGUGAAUCUCUGCAUUUCAAGGAAAUUGCCAGCACUUUUUGAUCCAGCACCCAUCCCCCCUCUCCCUGCAUCUACUCCCCACCUGGCUGUCAUUGAGGUUUCCAUCUAAGGGUGGUGGGGGCUUCAAAUGCAGAGGCAGACAAUCAGACGCAGGUGUCUCCUCUAGUGACCCGGAUGUACUUAUCCCCCGAUGCCUGGUGACCCUGACAGGAAGUGAUUCGCUGGCCAAGUGACCUCCCCUGGUGGCCCUUCCUGUCCCCGUGUUGCCUCUCAGGAAGGAAGGAUGCGGUUUGUUGUCCUCAGGCGCCUCGCUCUCACUCUCCUGUCCUCAGCCUGACGAGAGAAACUAGAUUAUUGAUUCCAGGCUCGUCUCUCCUCGUCCUGUCCUUUUUUUAUUCUUCUUUUUCUGUCUGCUCCAUUCUUCAUCUCUUUCUCUCUUGUCUCAGCACCCACUUUAUUUUCUUUUGACAUCAUCCCUUUCUUCUUUUGUUAUAUUUUCCCUGUCCGUACGAGAUGUGAGUAAACACUGCGGACACAGGCAAACCGCAUCGUCCCCGAUCCCAUUCAAUUACACUCAGGGGGCUAACAAGUUUUUUGAUUUAUAGGCUCCAUUUAUUUUAUUUCUGACACUGAUUUAUUUAUUUGUUUUACUGUUAUUUUAUUGCCCAUACAUUCACAUUAAAUAUGGCAGUCAAUUCAUGUGGUGGAGAAUUUCCAAGGUCAGGCUUCUGGGUUUAGUCUGCUCUAAAAUGAAGUGCAUGCACACUGCAGAUUAAAGACACCAUUUGGUCGUAUUUAGGACGGGAAGGGGACUUCCAGGCAGAGACAGACACAGAGACCUCACUAACAACAUCAAACGCUGUUUUUGUUGUUCUUGGCUGUAGAUUAAGAACAGGAACUUAAACCAACAAGGUGAAAAGGUCAUGAAAAAUCAUUGCCAUUGUUUGUUAAUUGUGUAUCUGUCAAGCAACAAUGUCCAGGCCAGGAAAAACCUUAUCUCCUGAAGACUUUCACUACUUUCUAUGUUUAUAAUGUCAGCGUAGAGCGUAAUUUAUAAUAAUUCGUUUGGUGUAAAGAUGGUGAUAAUACAGUUUUUAUGUCUUAUUAUAGUAGAAUAUUUCUCUUUGUCACUUGUUAAUUAACAUUUUGUAAUUUCUGUCAUCAGCUGUAAUUGUUGUAUUGUGUUUGGUAAUGUGCCUUCAGUUUGUGAUUUUAAUUAUUAAAUGCAUUAACAUAAAAAAUAAUAAAGUUAAACCUUUU